GCCUCGUUAGCUCAGCUGGUAGAGCUUAGACUUUUAAUCUAACUGUCAGGGUUCAAACCCCCUAUGAGGAG